GCAGUCAGUACACCGCACGCCACGCUCGGGAACACAGUGCGGCGACGCUGCUGCGCGUAUUUAUGUUAAAAAAUGCCAAAUAAGUAUCAGAGAAAAGCCUUAGCCAAUCGUGGUUUUUGGAGUGAAGAUUCACAAAAAAAAAAUGGUUAAACCCAAAGAUAAGAAGACUGAUACAAAUAAGAAUAGAAAACGGAAAGCUGUAAGGCGUAUUAUCGAAAGUCGUUCUGAUCGGAGUGAACCAGUAUUGUGUGAUGCAUCUGAUGAAGAAGAUAAAGAAAACGAAGCAGAUAACUGCGCUGGAUGCGGAGAAAAUUAUUAUAAGACUCGUCUUGUGGAAGAGUGGCUCCAGUGUCUUAUUUGUGACAGGUGAAUACAUGAAAACUGUACCGAGUUUGAUGAUAUGUGCUCCAAAUGUGGACAGAAGAAGAAAAAAGAUGCUAAACAAGCCGAAUUUCAGGACAAGGGAAGGGAAAAGGGAAGUCAAGUACUGGUCAUCUAUCCCGUAUAGCUAUGGCCAACUUACCCUGAAGCCCCGGGAGAGAUGGCCAAUUCUACUUUUUUUUAGAAAUUGUUUUUUAAUAUGUUUUUGAAUUAUAAAAAAAUAUUUGUCGUUGAUUUUUACAAGACUAAUAACUGUUAAUUAUGAUAAGAAUAAAAGACUGGUUGUAACAACA